UGGGGAAUAUUGCACAAUGGGCGCAAGCCUGAUGCAGCCAUGCCGCGUGUAUGAAGAAGGCCUUCGGGUUGUAAAGUACUUUCAGCGAGGAGGAAGGCGUUGUGGUUAAUAACCGCAGCGAUUGACGUUACUCGCAGAAGAAGCACCGGCUAACUCCGUGCCAAGCAGCCGCGGUAAUACGGAGGGUGCAAGCGUUAAUCGGAAUUACUGGGCGUAAAGCGCACGCAGGCGGUCUGUCAAGUCGGAUGUGAAAUCCCCGGGCUCAACCUGGGAACUGCAUUCGAAACUGGCAGGCUAGAGUCUCGUAGAGGGGGUAGAAUUUCCAGGUUGUAGCGGUUGAAAUUGCGUAGAGAUCUGGAGGAAUACCGGUGGCGAAGGCGGCCCCCUGGACGAAGACUGACGCUCAGGUGCGAAAGCGUGGGAGCAAACA
rnacentral:rRNA from 1 species